GCGCCAGUAGCUCAGUUGGUAGAGCAGCUGACUCUUAAUCAGCGGGUCGUGGGUUCGAAGCCUACCUGGCGCA
rnacentral:tRNA from 1 species